rnacentral:rRNA from 1 species
GAUGAACGCUGGCGGCGUGCCUAAUACAUGCAAGUCGAGCGAAUGGAUUAAGAGCUUGCUCUUAUGAAGUUAGCGGCGGACGGGUGAGUAACACGUGGGUAACCUGCCCAUAAGACUGGGAUAACUCCGGGAAACCGGGGCUAAUACCGGAUAAUAUUUUGAACUGCAUGGUUCAAAAUUGAAAGGCGGCUUCGGCUGUCACUUAUGGAUGGACCCGCGUCGCAUUAGCUAGUUGGUGAGGUAACGGCUCAACAAGGCAACGAUGCGUAGCCGACCUGAGAGGGUGAUCGGCCACACUGGGACUGAGACACGGCCCAGACUCCUACGGGAGGCAGCAGUAGGGAAUCUUCCGCAAUGGACGAAAGUCUGACGGAGCAACGCCGCGUGAGUGAUGAAGGCUUUCGGGUCGUAAAACUCUGUUGUUAGGGAAGAACAAGUGCUAGUUGAAUAAGCUGGCACCUUGGCGGUACCUAACCAGAAAGCCACGGCUAACUACGUGCCAGCCGCCGCCGUAA